rnacentral:rRNA from 1 species
AUUGAACGCUGGCGGCAUGCCUUACACAUGCAAGUCGAACGGUAACAGGUCUUCGGAUGCUGACGAGUGGCGAACGGGUGAGUAAUACAUCGGAACGUGCCCGAUCGUGGGGGAUAACGCAGCGAAAGCUGUGCUAAUACCGCAUACGAUCUACGGAUGAAAGCGGGGGAUCGCAAGACCUCGCGCGGACGGAGCGGCCGAUGGCAGAUUAGGUAGUUGGUGGGAUAAAAGCUUACCAAGCCGACGAUCUGUAGCUGGUCUGAGAGGACGACCAGCCACACUGGGACUGAGACACGGCCCAGACUCCUACGGGAGGCAGCAGUGGGGAAUUUUGGACAAUGGGCGCAAGCCUGAUCCAGCCAUGCCGCGUGCAGGAUGAAGGCCUCGGUUGUAACUGCUUUGUACGGUAACGAAAAGACUCUCUCUAAUACA